GAGUCUUAACCGGGCGUUAAGUUGCAGGGUAUAGACCCGAAACCCGGUGAUCUAGCCAUGGGCAGGUUGAAGGUUGGGUAACACUAACUGGAGGACCGAACCGACUAAUGUUGAAAAAUUAGCGGAUGACCUGUGGCUGGGGGUGAAAGGCCAAUCAAACCGGGAGAUAGCUGGUUCUCCCCGAAAGCUAUUUAGGUAGCGCCUCGUGAAUUCAUCUCCGGGGGUAGAGCACUGUUUCGGCUAGGGGGCCAUCCCGGCUUACCAACCCGAUGCAAACUGCGAAUACCGGAGAAUGUUAUCACGGGAGACACACGGCGGGUGCUAACGUCCGUCGUGAAGAGGGAAACAACCCAGACCGCCAGCUAAGGUCCCAAAGUCAUGGUUAAGUGGGAAACGAUGUGGGAAGGCCCAGACAGCCAGGAUGUUGGCUUAGAAGCAGCCAUCAUUUAAAGAAAGCGUAAUAGCUCACUGGUCGAGUCGGCCUGCGCGGAAGAUGUAACGGGGCUAAACCAUGCACCGAAGCUGCGGCAGCGACGCUGAUGCGUUGUUGGGUAGGGGAGCGUUCUGUAAGCCUGCGAAGGUGUGUCGUGAGGCAUGCUGGAGGUAUCAGAAGUGCGAAUGCUGACAUAAGUAACGAUAAAGCGGGUGAAAAGCCCGCUCGCCGGAAGACCAAGGGUUCCUGUCCAACGUUAAUCGGGGCAGGGUGAGUCGACCCCUAAGGCGAGGCCGAAAGGCGUAGUCGAUGGGAAACGGGUUAAUAUUCCCGUACUUGGUGUUACUGCGAAGGGGGGACGGAGAAGGCUAUGUUGGCCGGGCGACGGUUGUCCCGGUUUAAGCGUGUAGGUGUGUGUUCCAGGUAAAUCCGGUUCACUUUAACACUGAGGCGUGAUGACGAGGCACUACGGUGCUGAAGCAACAAAUGCCCUGCUUCCAGGAAAAGCCUCUAAGCAUCAGGUAACAUCAAAUCGUACCCCAAACCGACACAGGUGGUCAGGUAGAGAAUACCAAGGCGCUUGAGAGAACUCGGGUGAAGGAACUAGGCAAAAUGGUGCCGUAACUUCGGGAGAAGGCACGCUGACACGUAGGUGAAGUGAUUUACUCAUGGAGCUGAAGUCAGUCGAAGAUACCAGCUGGCUGCAACUGUUUAUUAAAAACACAGCACUGUGCAAACACGAAAGUGGACGUAUACGGUGUGACGCCUGCCCGGUGCCGGAAGGUUAAUUGAUGGGGUCAGCGCAAGCGAAGCUCCUGAUCGAAGCCCCGGUAAACGGCGGCCGUAACUAUAACGGUCCUAAGGUAGCGAAAUUCCUUGUCGGGUAAGUUCCGACCUGCACGAAUGGCGUAAUGAUGGCCAGGCUGUCUCCACCCGAGACUCAGUGAAAUUGAACUCGCUGUGAAGAUGCAGUGUACCCGCGGCAAGACGGAAAGACCCCGUGAACCUUUACUAUAGCUUGACACUGAACAUUGAGCCUUGAUGUGUAGGAUAGGUGGGAGGCUUUGAAGUGUGGACGCCAGUCUGCAUGGAGCCGGCCUUGAAAUACCACCCUUUAAUGUUUGAUGUUCUAACGUGGACCCGUGAUCCGGGUUGCGGACAGUGUCUGGUGGGUAGUUUGACUGGGGCGGUCUCCUCCUAAAGAGUAACGGAGGAGCACGAAGGUUGGCUAAUCCUGGUCGGACAUCAGGAGGUUAGUGCAAUGGCAUAAGCCAGCUUGACUGCGAGCGUGACGGCGCGAGCAGGUGCGAAAGCAGGUCAUAGUGAUCCGGUGGUUCUGAAUGGAAGGGCCAUCGCUCAACGGAUAAAAGGUACUCCGGGGAUAACAGGCUGAUACCGCCCAAGAGUUCAUAUCGACGGCGGUGUUUGGCACCUCGAUGUCGGCUCAUCACAUCCUGGGGCUGAAGUAGGUCCCAAGGGUAUGGCUGUUCGCCAUUUAAAGUGGUACGCGAGCUGGGUUUAGAACGUCGUGAGACAGUUCGGUCCCUAUCUGCCGUGGGCGCUGGAGAACUGAGGGGGGCUGCUCCUAGUACGAGAGGACCGGAGUGGACGCAUCACUGGUGUUCGGGUUGUCAUGCCAAUGGCACUGCCCGGUAGCUAAAUGCGGAAGAGAUAAGUGCUGAAAGCAUCUAAGCACGAAACUUGCCCCGAGAUGAGUUCUCCCUGAGACUUAGAGUCUCCUGAAGGAACGUUGAAGACGACGACGUUGAUAGGCCGGGUGUGUAAGCGCAGCGAUGCGUUGAGCUAACCGGUACUAAUGAACCGUGAGGCUUAACCUUACAACGCCGAAG
rnacentral:rRNA from 1 species